rnacentral:lncRNA from 1 species
CCUGUGCCCUCUUGGCUACUGGUUUUCCUAAAGUCUUGUGGCCCUACAAUUCUCCUUUCUGCCAGGGUUCUUUCCCUGACCACUUCACUAACAUUCAGUUCUGUCUUUCUGUGUCUCACAGGAGUCCUUCCAUCCAAAGCCCUCAAGAAACCACGGAAUCAAAUGCACUCACUCACAUGGAGUUAGAAAAAAUAGAUGGUGAUGAGACAUCUGUUGAUGGAGAUUUAGUCUAUUCAGAGGUCUGGAGUACACAGCAGGGAAAAGAAGAUGCAGCAGAUGUAUCAAAGAAGCCUCCAGAUGACAAGGACUGCUCAGUCACCUACUCUGUAGUGAAGAAGACAGAAACUCUAGGAGACUCAACUGGGAAUUCCAGUUGAGGAAUUCCAGGUCUGCCAGUGAGAACAAUGGAGUUACUGAAGAUGGUUACGUCAUGCUCUCAUGAUCCAUCCAUGAGCUGUGGAAUCACAUAUGACACAUUCUUUAAGAGAUCUCAGAGAUCUUUUACUUUACCAGUAAUUUCAGGAUUUCUCAUUUAUAUUCCAUGGAACAGCAAGCACAGAUACUAGAAAAUUUAGGUAGGAGAUCUAGGACUCCAGAGAAAAUCCAUGGUUUUGAAUGUUAUGACUUUAUCAUCUGUCCCUGCCUCACUGUGCUCCUGAAAGAAUGGAGAUACUGAGACAGAAGGCUUUUUUCCAUUUUCACACUGAGGAAACUGAUAUGAAGUGACACAUAUAUAUGCACACAUAAAUACAGAUAUGUGUGUGUAUAUAUCUCUAUAUAUAUACUGGAGAAGGAAAUGGCAAACCACUCUAGUAUCUUUGCUAAGAAAUCUCCAAAGAGUCAGAAACUGAAAUGAUGACAACAAAAAAAUAUAUUUGCAUAUAAUAAGCACACACAAUAAUACUCACAUAUUAUACACACACACACACAUAUACACACAUGUAUCUAAUAAUAAGCACAUAAUACUA